rnacentral:rRNA from 1 species
GUCGAACGCUUUGUCUUUAAUUGAUAUGAAGAGCUUGCUCUGAUUUGAUUCUAUCUGACAAAGAGUGGCGAACGGGUGAGUAACACGUGGGUAACCUACCUCUUAGCAGGGGAUAACAUUUGGAAACAAGUGCUAAUACCGUAUAACACUAACAACCGCAUGGUUGUUAGUUGAAAGAUGGUUCUGCUAUCACUAAGAGAUGGACCCGCGGUGCAUUAGCUAGUUGGUAAGGUAAUGGCUUACCAAGGCGAUGAUGCGUAGCCGAGUUGAGAGACUGAUCGGCCACAAUGGGACUGAGACACGGCCCAUACUCCUACGGGAGGCAGCAGUAGGGAAUCUUCCACAAUGGGCGCAAGCCUGAUGGAGCAACGCCGCGUGUGUGAUGAAGGGUUUCGGCUCGUAAAACACUGUUAUAAGAGAAGAACGACAUUGAGAGUAACUGUUCAGUGUGUGACGGUAUCUUAUCAGAAAGGAACGGCUAAAUACGUGCCAGCAGCCGCGGUAAUACGUAUGUUCCAAGCGUUAUCCGGAUUUAUUGGGCGUAAAGCGAGCGCAGACGGUUAUUUAAGUCUGAAGUGAAAGCCCUCAGCUCAACUGAGGAAGGGCUUUGGAAACUGGAUAACUUGAGUGC